rnacentral:misc_RNA from 1 species
UCGACAUGGAGGAAGGCGGGGAAGUUUAUUGCCCAAUUUGUGGAAAUUAUUUUGAAUUAAGUAAAAUAAAUCAACAUGCGAACCAGUGUUUAAACGUGUUGUCUGAAAAUACGCCUAUCAGUGCUAUCACAAGAAAGAAAAAGUGUGGAGAUAGUGACUUUGCAUCUCCACCGCGCUCUCAAAAGCGACUAAAACCGAAUGAGGACUGUCAGCCUAGGCCUAUUUAUCACUAUCAGUAUCAGGACAAUUUAUCAGCCUCACCAUCGACGGCAUCGUGUUCGCUUUCUAUUUUAGAAAACAAAGACAAGCUUAGCCAAUUGGUGUCCCCUGCUAGUGUUACUGUGGGGAACAAAAGUUCACGUGAACACGAUAAAUAUAGAUGCAUAAAAGCAGGUGAUACUGUGAAGUUGACACCUACGCCUAGCUCUGCUGCCGUCGACAACAUUGCCAACAAGAAGUAUUCCACUUCUAUUUGUAAUUCUACGUCUAGCACUGCCACUAGUGGGCCUAUUACUACUAGUACUACCAGUACCAGUACUACUAGUAGUACCAAACCAUGGGGGAUUUUCUUUAAUAAAAGUAAAAGCAAAGAACAAUCAGAGCAAAAUGAUACGACUACCGUCACUACGCAAUCCAACCAAACUAAAGUGAAUGGAAGUGUCUCAGCUGUACCUAGUAGUAGUAGUACUAGCACUAGUACUAGUAGUGAGGCGCUAUUGAAUUUGAAGCCCGAUGAUGACAAUUUUAAGCCACUGGCCGAACAGAUGAGACCAACGUCAAUAUUAGAUUACAUUGGGCAAAGUAAAGCCAUUGGAGAAAAUACAAUGCUGAGCAGUUUGUUAGAAGCCCACAAAAUACCAUCUAUGGUGCUUUGGGGACCACCAGGUUGUGGUAAAACGACUCUAGCGAGGAUAAUAGCAAAAAGGUGCAAGGAGAAAAGCAGCACCAGAUUUGUGCAGCUGUCUGCGACGACCAGCGGUGUUGCAGACGUCAAACAAGCGAUCACACAGGCCAGAAAUGAACAGAAGAUGUUUAGGCGCAAAACUGUGCUGUUCAUUGACGAGAUUCAUAGAUUCAACAAAUUACAACAGGACACGUUCCUCCCACAUGUUGAGAACGGCACUGUGACCCUGAUUGGUGCAACAACAGAGAACCCAUCAUUUCACAUCAAUUCCGCGCUGCUCAGUCGCUGUCGCGUCAUUGUGCUAGAAAAGCUGACCAUCGACGACAUCCGUGCCAUUGUCCAGAGGGCGCUGAUGAAGCUCAACAUUGGUGUGUUGGUAGAGGGCGCUGCUGCUGCUGUGCCAGUGCAGGGAGAUUCGAGAGCACCAGUGAUGUAUAUACAAGAAAAGGCUGUAGACGUCUUGGCAGGCCUUAGUGACGGAGAUGCUAGAGUUUCCUUGAAUGGCCUACAAAUGGCGGUGCAAGCCCAAGAAGCAGAUUUUAUGUUGAGAAAAGAGCUUGCUUCUAGUAGAGGAGAUUGUGAAAUAUCGGGAGAUGUGGAGAAUGCAUUUACUAUUAUCACUACUGAACAUAUCAAGGAAGGAUUGCAGCAGUCCCACUUACUUUAUGAUCGAGCCGGUGAAGAGCACUACAAUGCGAUAUCAGCCCUGCACAAGUCUAUAAGGGGUUCGGAUGAGAAUGCUGCUCUCUACUGGCUAGUACGAAUGCUAGAAGCAGGAGAGGAUCCCAUGUUUGUUGCGCGACGUCUCCUUGAUGCGGCGACGGGUGACGUCGGAUUAGCUGAUCCCAUGGCAUUGACACAUGCCGUAGCAGUACACCAAGGCUGCCAUGCAAUGGGAAUGCCGGCUUGUGGGUAUACUUCAGAUAUUGCUGGCACAGUUAACAACAUACCUCGCAAGAGCUCCGAAGAGUUGUGAGAUAAGUUCCGCAUACGAAAAGGCGCGCAAGUGCAUCCAGGAUCACCAGGGGGCACUACCCCCGGUGCCCCUGCACCUACGAAAUGCACCAACUCGGCUCAUGCAAGAGAUAGGUUAUGGAAAAGGCUACAAGCCUGUAGGAGGACAAUACAUGCCAGAUGGAAUGACCCAUG